GUGACUACAAGAAAAUUCUUAACGGAACAGCAUUCACAGAAUGUACAUUUCCCUUGAAAAUCAAUUGCUCUGGAGCCUAGAGAUUCUGUAAUGUUAAUAUUCCUGAUGGUUUUUAGAAUAGGAUUGUGCUGAUAAUGUGUUAAUGUAUGACAAGGUAUGUUCCUGUAUGCACACUUUACAUGAUAACAUGCAUGAACAGAUAAUACUGUAAUAUAUAGCCUUUCUCUAUGUAAAAAAGGAUGACAAGGUUGCUAAUAUUUCAAUACCAGGGAAAGUGUUUUCCAAAAAGCAAUGUGAAUGCCAGUCCCAUAAUAUGAAACAUUGUAGCAAAACAACCCCAAAAAUAGAAACAGGUUUAAAAAUAAAAGUGAUCUUCCAAAAAUGUUUCAGAUGAUCGUUUCCACCUGUUAAAUCCAACAUCUUUUUAUUCUGGUUAGAGUGAUGUUUCUACAAAAUAUGCAGUGAACCAGUCCCAUUAUAGGGUUAUUAACCAAUGGUUUAAAACCCAUUAUCUUCACUUAGCUUUUUUAGGAAACACAGAUAUUCAAAUACAGCCUAAUAGAUUCCUUUCUUUUGAGAAAAUCCACAAAAAAUGAUAUCUGGUACCAAAUAAGUCUUGCACUUCCUUGGUCAUUUCAGCUAGAAAAUGAAGUUGUCCCCACCUUUUCAGUGUCUUCUGUCCUGUAACCAACCAACUGUUUCCCCUAAUGACGGAUAUUCUUUGCAGCCAGUACCAGCCAGUAACAUGCUUUGACCCCAUUGGCAUUGAUGGCAUUUUAACUACAACCGCUUUAAAGUAAAAUAAGCAAGCACAGAUGCAAGAGAUAUUCAAUUGCAAAUAAGAUGUAAGCAUAUUAAUAUAUUAAUUUUAAAGCCUUGGUUAUCGCACUUUAUUCUAUAUAUGUUUUAACUGUAUGCAAAAGCACAUACUGUAUGCAAAAGCACUAGAAUCGUCUGCAUUUUGAUCAUGGAUAAAGGCUUCCUGAUGAAUGGCUUUAUAGCCCCUUCCUAUAAUACUGUAUGCUAAAAAUUAAACAUUUUUGAAGAAAAAAACGUUUAUAGAAGUUGUUCAUUUAGUAUUCUGGAACCAUCAGUGUUUAUUUUAAAAGCUUGCUGAAUGUUUUAUAAGUAAGGAGACAAGAUUAUUAUUUUUAGAAAACUAAUAAAUAUGUAAGGCAGUUUGCAUGUGUGUGUUAUUUAUUAUUUGCCCUGAGAUCUGGCGUGAACACAGUACUGUCUAAUUGUAUCAAAGUACCUACAAAAGCCUUGCAUCCCACUAUUCCAGUUACGGUUCAAGUACUUUGCUUCCAAUUUCGAAUCAAGACAUUUCCCUUAAGACUUUAGCAUUUGAAACUGCAGUUUACACUUUAUGUCAGUAGAUGGCAGUAUUGAAUUUCAUUGCAGUAUUUUCAGAGGCAGUGGAAAAAUACAGUGUAAAAUAUUGUUUUUCUUUUCAUUUAUCUCAUGCAGACAAUAUGUAUCUAUGUACAGAAGGUGUAUAUUAUACUUAUAGGGAUGCAGAUCUUUAUAAUAGGUUUAUAAUAGUAAGACAUUCAUAACAGUAAACUUGCUUGGUGAGACCCAGGGGUGAAAUUCUGCCGGGAUUAAACGGUACUCCGUACCGGGUCUUAUUUUAAUGCCGGUACUGGGUACCAGGAUUUAUUUAAUCUGAUUUUCAUCCAACGAGGAUGCAUUCCAUACACUCACACAGUCCACUGGUGCAAUGUUUCUCAUAUGCACUUUCAUUCAGCACAGUUCAUGCUGCUUGCAUUUGGUUUCCUCAUAUUGCUUCUGUUUCUGUUUCUGUUAGAUGCUAUUGGCCACCAUUAAUGUCAGUAUAAUCACUACCUGUUGAUUGGCCAAGCUCUCAUUCUGGUCAGAUUUCAUUUUGGCAUGCGUCACAAAUCUUCGCCCAUUUCGCUUUGUGUCAGUGCUCAUUAGUUGAUCAAUGAGAGAAGACUAGCAGUGUGAUGUGAAAACAGCGGUAUAGAGUAAUUAUUAUUAUUAUUUUUUUUUUGUAAUUAUUAUUUCUUUAUUUAUUUUACUUUGUGCCCACAGGUACAUCUCAAUAGUGCAGCACUAAUACAAAGAGAGACCUAAUAAUAAACAAUACAGCAAUUAUACAUCCAAGCAAUAUCAAUAAAAACACACAUAUACACACGCGUAUACAUACAAUACACAAAUAUAUUAAAAGAUACAGAGAUACAGAUAUUUAUAUUUAAAUUACAUUACAACUAAAACAAGUUCACCUCAAACGCAGAUUGUACAGAGUAGCAGUUUUAAACCCAGAGAGGCUUGAUAAUGACAAUGAAUCCGGAAGGGCAUUCCAUAACCCCAAGGUCUUUUACAAGCACAGACUCACAUAGAGGUCAACAAGAAUAAAAUAGAACCUUCUGCCACUUAAUGGUUUAAGAGAAGACCGACUAAGAAGGUUGUCAUAAGUAAAAUCCCAAUUUCAGUUAUUCAAUACAAUCCUACAAGCACAUUUUUGCACAGACUCAAGCUUCUUAGUAUUGUAUUUUUUAAAUGGGUCCCAGGUACUGGAAAACAGGUCUUACCAAACUCUUGUAAAGCUAGAAAACAACAUUUGGAGGGGCCUCUCUAAAAGAACGAAAAAUCACCCCCCAAAUUCUUCUCGCUUUGCUGCAAACAUAAUUGGUGUGGUGUGACCAGAGCAAGUUAUCAGAUACCCAAACCCCCAGGAGCUUAUAAUGCAUGACUUUCUCAAUUAGAACCCCUCCCCCCUCAGUUUCAAAUAAUUCAUUCUAAACCAAUAGACAUGUUGAAAAGCUAAUGAGUCUGUUUCUGGAUUUAUAAUUGUUUUAUAUAAUGUAGUGUCAUCUGUAAACAUAAGAAAAUUGGUAAAUUCUGAGAAGUGUAUAUUUGCCAAAUCAUUAACAUACAGAUUAAACAACAAAGGGCCCAAAACAGACCCUUGAGGAACACAUGAUAUCACUGGUAACUUAGAAGAAAGUUGUCCCUGGACAGCAACACUUUGCCAACGCCCCACAAGGUAAGAAGAAAACCAGCCCAAAAUGCCUUCACCAAACCUGUAUAGACAGUUUUGAUAAAAGGACAUUAUGUGGAAGUGAGUCAAAGCCUCUGGAGAGGUCAAAAAGUACUGUAACGUAACCGGAAUCCACAUUUUUGUAGCACAGACCAAGAAAUGUUCAAAUACAUCCCCUGUUCCUGAAUUAGUUUGAAAGCCAAACUGUGAUUUCGUUAAAAUCUGGUUAAAGGAAAGGUAGUUUUCACAAAAACUAUACACAGUCCUCUCCAGAACCUUCGAUAGAAUAGGUAAAAAGGACAUUAUUAUGGAGUAAUUAUUUUCUUUAGGGCGGUAGAGAAACUAUCAGAAUAUUUCAACAACCAUUGCUGCACAUGAAAUUGAAGGCAAAAAAUCCACGUCAGUGUUCGCCAUAAAUUACAUAGUUGAUAAAUAUUAGAAAUAAUUAUCACAACGCAUUUUGCCUUGCACCGAUUUAUCACCUUGCCAGAAUUUGCACAAAUGUUUCUAAAAUAGCAAGUGAUGUGUGGGACAGUAGGGAUUAACAUUUAAAAACAGGAUCAACAAAGUGCUGCUUCAGAUUUCGUAAGCGAGUCAAAAUCGGGAUACAGAUGUAGGUGUGCUUCACGCUUUUCAAACACUGGCCCAACUUGCAAGGUAUGUGUUAAGUAUAAUGAUCAAUGUUUUGUUUUGUUGUGAUCCAAGUAUUUUCUGUUAUGAGGACUGUAAUAAACGAAAACCAAAACAUGAGGUGUUUUUUCUUUGUACAAUGCCCCCUUUUCUACAAGUUUAUUUAAAUUAAUUUGAGUUUUCACUUACCUGUACAUAAAAAAAGUACCAGACAGUACCGAUAUUACUUUAUGAAAAUGUCUUUUGCUACUUUGUUUAUUGUGCAGAAACCACAAUGCCAGGGAUUUUUUUUUUUAAAAAGUCUACUUUUAUACUAUUUCUGCCUGAAAAAUCUUUUUCUGGGAUAUAUCAUGGUAGGUAAUCUACACAGAAUCACAACAGAGAAGCACACAGAAUAUGUUCUUGUAGGAUAAGUAAUAAGUAAAAAAUCUAAAUAAAAGAAACAGGGAUAUAUGUUCUAAUCCAAGGCUGUCAUUGUAGAAUGACCAGGUCCUCUAGAUGAGUACCCAGGGUCUGGAAAGUAUGGGGAUGAUUUCAGAGAAUACUAUGGAGAUUAAAAUGGCCAAGUCAAGUACAUCAUUUCUUAAAUAGUGCCUGUUACAUU